AGUGAACGCUGGCGGUAGGCCUAACACAUGCAAGUCGAACGGCAGCACAGAGGAGCUUGCUCCUUGGGUGGCGAGUGGCGGACGGGUGAGGAAUACAUCGGAAUCUACUCUGUCGUGGGGGAUAACGUAGGGAAACUUACGCUAAUACCGCAUACGACCUACGGGUGAAAGCAGGGGACCUUCGGGCCUUGCGCGAUUGAAUGAGCCGAUGUCGGAUUAGACUAGUUGGCGUGGUAAGGGCCCACCAAGGCGACGAUCCGUAGCUGGUCUGAGAGGAUGAUCAGCCACACUGGAACUGAGACACGGUCCAGACUCCUACGGGAGGUAGCAGUGGGGAAUAUUGGACAAUGGGCGCAAGCCUGAUCCAGCCAUACCGCGUGGGUGAAGAAGGCCUUCGGGUUGUAAAGCCCUUUUGUUGGGAAAGAAAUCCAGCUGGCUAAUACCCGGUUGGGAUGACGGUACCCAAAGAAUAAGCACCGGCUAACUUCGUGCCAGCAGCCGCAGUAA
rnacentral:rRNA from 1 species